rnacentral:rRNA from 1 species
CCUACGUGAGGCAGCAGUGAGGAAUAUUGGUCAAUGGGCGCGAGCCUGAACCAGCCAAGUAGCGUGAAGGAUGACUGCCCUACGGGUUGUAAACUUCUUUUAUAAAGGAAUAAAGUGAGGCACGUGUGCCUUUUUGUAUGUACUUUAUGAAUAAGGAUCGGCUAACUCCGUGCCAGCAGCCGCGGUAAUACGGAGGAUCCGAGCGUUAUCCGGAUUUAUUGGGUUUAAAGGGAGCGUAGAUGGGUUGUUAAGUCAGUUGUGAAAGUUUGCGGCUCAACCGUAAAAUUGCAAUUGAUACUGGCAGUCUUGAGUACAGUUGAGGUAGGCGGAAUUCGUGGUGUAGCGGUGAAAUGCUUAGAUAUCACGAAGAACUCCGAUUGCGAAGGCAGCUUACUAAACUGCAACUGACACUGAUGCACGAAAGUGUGGGUAUCAAACAGGAUUAGAUACCCCGGUAGUC